UCUCUCAAAACUCUCUUGGAUCUACAACUCUCUCUUCUCUCUCUUUCGGUUCAAGCAAAGAGAAGAACUCUCUUCUUCUUGUUUGGAGUCUCAUGGCUAGUGGUAUGAAAAACAAGAAAGAAUUCUUUUCCUUUGAGAAGAAAUGAUGUAUCUCUCUCGGGUUUUGAUUGAGGAACGAAAGUUGGAGCUGCUAGGUUAUGGACGAGACCUUUAGUAUGUAGAUGUUAUAUACAAUGGUUAUGUAAUGUUUUGUGCCGCAUGUGGUACGUAUGUUGUUAUUUGGAUGUAUUUUAUUAUAUCAGAACAAAUGGUUAUUAUUUUAUAUAUUGAG